GUCUAAGGGAAGCAUUCUCGAUUCCCCAAUUCGCACUCCCAAAAUCCUAAAUCGAAUCCAUUUCAAGUUCACGUUGUCGUCAUCAUGAGUUUGUUUUUGCCAUUUAUCGCGGCUGUUCAUCGUUAGUUUUUAGGACUGGGAAUGGGCGGAAUGGGGGGAAUCGUCUAAAAUUAGAACAGCGCCCAAAAAUAGAUCGGCCAUCUGCUGUGUGUGUGACGUCAGGUGCGGAUGAGUUGCGGUCAGGUGCUACGGUGCCCCCCAUAUCCAAUGUAAACACAAUUUCUGGAAUGCUUGAAUGCUAACCAUCAAAAUGGAUUGUUUGUUCGCUCGCUUUUCGAUCGGUUUCUCCCGGUUCUGCCGUGUUCCCUUAUCGCCCCUCUGUUUCGUCGGCAAAUGUCAACCUUUUGCACUGAUCAUUUCUGGUAUUUAUUUCAGCAAACUAAGGGUGACUGGUCAAUCUCUUGACGAGAGUCUGGAGUGCAAGCUGAGUGCUCGGAUCUCAAGCGGAUCAUCGGGCAAUCGGAACACAACACUGCUGUGGCUGACGACUGCAAGAUGCCCACUAAUGAUCGCUGGGCUUUUCCUCUGGGUGCCCAUUUGAUUCGAAGUCGAAACGGAUUAUGGAUGAAUGCCAGAGGAAAUAUAUAGUACGUUUAGUAGUUUCUUCUGGCUGUGGCACUCAUCCCCGGGUACGGUACAUUGGGCCAUUCAGAAAUACCCAUUGGGCGAGUCCCAGCAGCUGAUUCAUGCCAUGCCGGAGCCCAGAGCCAAUUCCGUAUCCGAAUCAAAGCACAGACACACAUAAAAACCGAUCGCCCACACCACACCGAUCGGUGACUACGUUGUGGCACCCCCACAACAAUGGCAACAACAAGUAGGCGUCCUUCGACCAUGCCAAAUUCCAAAAUUCUUGCGUCGUUCGUCGGUCGUCGACAUCGACGUCAUUUCGCCCGCCAUCCUCUGCCUCUGCCUCUGCCCCUCUCCACUCCGGUCCGGUCCGCACUGCUCCGGGCUAUACGUAAAUAUUUACACAUGUCUUACAAGAGCUGGCAAUUUUUCGCUGUCGGAUAUAGCGUCGUGGGAGGAGUGUGUAUGUGUACGGAUUGCGAUUUAAAUGGAUUUGUCUCAUUGCAUUCAUUGCUCCCGAUUCGAUACGAAACGAUCCAAUCCGAUCCGAUCCGAUCCGACAGUUCAAUGAAGUGGCCGGAGGAAGGUGAAGCCGUAUGUUAUACGAAUCAGGAAUGCAGAUCUUUAUAGAUUGAUCGAGGGAACGUACAUAAACACAAGUGGAUCCUUUUGGUUGGGAGUGCAAUAAGCGCCAGUGCCAGCGCCAGCGCCAGCUGCCUUCGAAUCUUCAGUUUGGAGAGAACGACAUCAUAACAAUAAAAAAAUACUAACAAUUUGGCAGCGGCGUACAAUUUGCGUCAACAGCACUUGCCUCUCAGGCCCCUAGUAUAUAUAUAGAUGGCAAAUAGAAUAUAUAGAUUUAUCCAUAUAUGUACAUAUAUAAAUACUUUUGUACAUACAUACAUGUGUAUGUGUGUAUGUGUAGGCACAAAGCGAACGGACCAAGUGCCCUGUUUUAUAUAUAGAUCUAAGGAUGAGCCAUCGGCAUUCAUCUUCUGCGCCACAAUGCAUACCCUGCCACCCGCCAACCACCCCCCGCACACAGUACUAAUAAUAAUCAUAAUAUUAAUAAAAACAUAUGCUUAGGCAGCCGCUGCGUAUGCGCAAUUUCCCCAUUACGUAUACGCGGACAGAAAGCAGAUGCCAAAAGCCAAACGGAAAAACAUGUCCAAAUUAGGCAAUAUCCG